CCUCACCUGAUCAAGAUAUACCUUAUAUAAGCAGCCAGCCUCAUUGGGACAAAUCCAGAUCCCACGGCGACUGUGUUUGGUGGUUAUGACAGAUUUUGGCUGCAGGAAGACGUCAGCACCUCCUUCAAUAGGUGUCUCAACAUCCCUCCCUAACAGGAAGGCUACAGCUUCAACCAUUUUACCAUCUGACCAUCUUACCUCUGUGAGCUUUACAGAUAGCACAGGGUCUUCACCGCAACCUUAGGAAGGGAGCGCUCCCCCGCACCC